rnacentral:lncRNA from 1 species
GAUUCUUCCAUUCUCACUCGAUCUAUUAUACAUAUAUAUAUGCUCCAUAUUUUCUUUAAGUAUUACACACAAAGCCAUGCCCUGUUUUAAGUAUAUUAACCCUUGAGCACUGAUACCUUGUCCGACUGACGUAGGGCCCCGUAACGUAUAUUAAGGCUCUGCCUAAAUUCGUUGGGGUUCUGUCUCUUGACGUAGGGAUAAAGUAGAAUUGGGUUACUAUACUUAAUGUGGGUGCACUAUAUAUUUUAUUAAAUAAUCCAGGAGUUGUACCCAAAAUAUAACAACCCUCCCGAAUAUUUUUCUGACACCCUGCACUUCCUAAAAUACACCCCAUAUGUGAAAACUAAACCCGAAAUAUAAUAUAACAUUGAAAAUAAUGGAAAACAAGAAAAAGUAAGUUGAGGCGGGCCGCGUAGACCCACCCCAACCUUUACGCGGGCGGUAUGAAGAUUGAUACCGGAUUCCUUUGAUUUUCUUAAGUUCAAGCGGGCCGCGUAAGCUACCCGUUAAGUUAACGCGGGCCGCGAGGGACUAAAAAGGUGGCACAGCCCGGUGCGGCCACGUGUCCCAACACCCGGCUAAGCUAGUUGUCGACUCAGCACAGCUACGCGUUGACCCAGCUUUGACGCGGGCCGCGUAAGCUUUGUGCUUAUGUUACGCGGGCCGCGAGAGACCCAGGUUCAGGCACUAUAUAAAGGAGGCAUCGGCUGUCCAUUUCAAUUCGUUCACAAUUCAUUCUCACUCUCAAAAUUUUGAAUUAGAGUUAUUAUACUCGGGUAUUAUACCCCCUAAUUAGCGAAACUCUGCCUCGUUGUAAGUAUCAUAACCCUUGGAUAUGUAUUAGAUACUCUGCCCGAUUGAUCUAGGGUUCCGUAACGGCUGUCGUGGUUCUGCCCGACGUAGUCGUUGGAAUGCCGUCUCGGGGAGGGUAUUACUAAUGUUAAAAUGGGUUAUUAUACUAACACAUGUGCAUUGUUUAUUUAAUUAGACUAUAACCAGGGAAUCACAAAGGAAAGCCCUAUAAUAGCAAUGUGAGUAAUCCUUCUUUUUGUGUAAACCUUUUUAUGAGUAACUUAGUAUGAAGUCAAUAAAAGCCAGCUGGAGAGCACUGGAGGCUUGAAAAAGUGGCAAUAAAGUUACCUAAAAUAAAAUAGAUGUUUUUAUUAAACAAAACAGGAUUUAUUACUAUGAAAUUGUGUAUACUACAAACUUGGGUUUUAUCCCAUGUGUUUAAUAUUAUGAAAAUAUGGUGGUUUUACU